AUAAAUGACAAAAUAGCAAUGUGGGGGGUGUUUGUUUUGAUUUUGGUACUUUUAAAGGACAAGCAAAUAUUCGGUUGGUUGUGUAAUCAAUGGAAUAUUUGGACAGAGCUGUGUGACAUACAUCUGAUUUCUAUGUGGCCAAGUGGUUAAACUCCCGCGCUUACAAUCAAGAGGAUACUGGUUUGAAUCCUGCUGGGGGCUUAUUCCUUAGUUUCUUUUUUUUUUUUUAAUCCCCAAACUGUUCAAUUCAGGUAAAUAAAUGUUUUUAAAAAAUACACAGGGCCAAUAAAUGACAAAAUUGCAAUGUGGGGGUGUUUGUUUUGAUUUUAGUACUUUUAAAGGACAAGCAAAUAUUGCAGUUGGUUGCGUAAUCAAUGGAAUAUUUACACAGAGCUGUGAAGUGUACUUCUGGUUUCUACGUGGCAUAGCGGUUAAACUCCCGCGGUUGCAAUCAUUUGGAUACUGGUUCGAAUCCCACUGGGGGCUUGUUCCUUUGUUUCUUUUUUUUUUUUAAUCCCCAAACUGUUCAAUUCAGGUAAAUAAAUGUUUUUAAAAAAUACACAGGGCCAAUAAAUGACAAAAUCGCAAUGUGGGGGUGUUUAUUUUGAUUUUAGUACUUUUAAAGGACAAGCAAAUAUUGCAGUUGGUUGCGUAAUCCAUGGAAUAUCUCCACAGAGCUGUGUGACGUACUUCCGGUUUCUACGUGGCCUAGCGGUAGACUCCCGCGCUUGCAACCAAGAGGAUAUUGGUUCAAAUCCCAGUGGGCUUAUUCCUUUGUUUCUUUUUUUUUUUAAUCCCCAAACUGUUCAAUUCAGGUAAAUAAAUGUUUUUUAAAAAUACACAGGGCCAAUAAAUGACAAAAUCGCAAUGUGGGGAUGUUUAUUUUGAUUUUGGUACUUUUAAAGGACAAGCAAAUAUUGCAGUUGGUUGCGUAAUCCAUGGAAUAUGUACACAGAGCUGUGUGGUGUAUUUCCGGUUUCUACGUGGCAUAGCGGUAAACUCCCGCGCUUGCAAUCAUUAGGAUACUGGUUCGAAUCCCACUGGGGGCUUGUUCCUUUGUUUCUUUUUUUUUUUUAAUCCCCAAACUGUUCAAUUCAGGUAAAUAAAUGUUUUUAAAAAAUACACAGGGCCAAUAAAUGACAAAAUAGCAAUGUGGGGGAUGUUUGUUUUCAUUUUGGUGCUUUUAAAGGACAACCAGACAGUGCAGUUGGUUGCGCAAUCUAUGGAAUAUAUCCAGAAAGUCUUGUGACGUACUUCCGGUGUCUAGGUGGUCCAACGGUUACAUUCCCGCGCUAGCGAUCAAGACAUUACUGGUUCGAAUCCCACUGGGGGCUUAUUUGUUUGUUUUUUUUUUUUUUUUUUUUAAUCCCAAAACUGUUCAAUUCAGGUAAAUAAAUGUUUUAAAAAAUACACAGGGCCAAUAAAUGACAAAAUAGCAAUGUGGGGGAUGUUUGUUUUGAAUUUGGAACUUUUAAAGGACAAUCAAAUAGUGCAGUUGGUUGCCUAAUCCUUUUUUUUUUUUUUCGAACUUUUUUUUUGAGAGAGAGAGAUAACAUUGAGACAUAACAUGCCAGGGGGAUAACAAAUACAACUACAGAAAUAUAUUACAUUUUACAAAGGCAUCAUGACAGAUGCUUGCUUUAGGAUGGGAGCUUCUGGAAAUAGUAAAAACAUAUACAAUUCAAUUUCUUUCAAUAGAACAGGGGAAAAGGG